UUUACAAUUGACUCUGGAGAGGACCCCGUGGCACUGGAGUGCAUGGCAUGUUCCUGUGCCGCAGGGAUUGCACCAGAGGCAACAAAUGAUAUGACAGUGUGUAAGCCCAAAACAAAAAGAAGCGUAAGGACUGGUGCAAAGUGCACACUGUACAGAGCAUAUGCUGGGCCUCUUCCAGAUCCUCAUAUGAUGGCCAGUGGAGAAAAACUCAAAGACAUUCAUCCACAACCAGGGUUAUGCAAACUGCUGCAUGGGCUUGAGAACCUUAAUUUGGUCGACUCUAAAUUUGGCCCUGUGCCAUUUGGCUCUGUCCUUUCUUACCAGUGCCCUCCUGAAAUACGUAAAGACUGUAUUAGACACCCUGAUGCCCCUGCGUUUCCGCAGUUACCUGUUGAUGGCUACAGUUUUAAAUUCCCAGGAAAUGAUGAGCUCAAUUACAAGCAACAAUGCCACCUGGAGAGCCUAAAGGUAACACUGGAGAUCUCAGCUGCUAUUGAAACUGAAACCAGACAGCAGUCAGAAUGCCAGUUAUGGACCCUGGUACGCAAACCCCAACUCACAGCCAGCCGAUUCCAUGAGAUAUGCCAUGUCCAUGGGGAGUCUUCUGCCAAAGCCUUGGCUUCUCGCAUCCUGAGGGGAACAGGUUUGGACCUGGAGGCGGAGAUACGGCGGCAGUAUUCAGAUUUCUGUGAUGUCUCUGUGACACCUUCUGGUGUAAUAAUACACCCAGACGCACCUCACCUUGGGGCUAGCCCUGAUGCCAAAGUCUUCAACCCGUGCGAAGAACCACCAUUUGGCCUGGCAGAGGUCAAGACCUGCAACGUGGAAAGUGUUCAACAAGUGAAACACCUGACCACAGUUCAAGGCAAAGCCUACUUACGCAAGACACACAAAUACUAUUACCAGGUGCAGGGACAACUGGCCAUAAGUGGCCUUCAGUGGUGUGAUUUUGUUACUGAUACGCACACUGACUUCACUGUAGAACGAAUCUUUAGAGAUGAGGAGCUUAUCCUGUCCAUGCGCCUAAAGCUAGAUGAGUUCUACUUCAACAUCUACAUGGAUGUCUUCUUAUGUAGUAAAACUUAAAAAUGACUCUGUGUGCUCUGAGUGGUUUCAAAAUGUUUAAACAUUUUUAUUUUUUAUGUAAAAGUUUAAUGUAAAAGGUGUACUCAUUUACAGUGCAGCGUUGAAAUAUUUGUGGACUGCGGUGUGAGCAAUUUUCAAACUGCUGAAUACUGAUCUCAUGUUCUUAUGAGAGUGACACACUUUUGUGAAUGAUGUCACAAUAUUAUAUUAAAGAUGGAUGUUUAUACAAGGACACUGAAUCAGGGAUUUAUAAACUUGUGAACAUUGGUCAUGUAGUUGCUUAGUUCAAACACCUUAGAAUCAAAGUACCCAUUUACUGAAUACAUUCUUGUUUUUGUGUUUUUACUUUAUUGUAGUCACCCUCACCCCACCUAGAAUUUAAGCCAAACAUAAUUUCAUUUUUUUGUACAAAUAGUAUUUCAUUUUUAAAACAGCAUUGCAUUUUUAAAACAGCACUUCACUUAACAUUUACAUGCAACCAUUUACAGUACACAGGGCCACAGCUGUACAGUCACUUGCAGUAGGGUCCAAAAUAUGAAGCCUUAGACUGGUUUGUCCCCUUUGAUAUCAAGAGGUCCCUGGUAGUUAGACAUCAGGCCACAGAUGGCCCAGAGCUGAUUGACAGAUCCUACCAUAGAGAGUGGAACAAGCCCAUCCCAAAUGUGGUAUUCCUUGACCCUGCGUAUGGCCCUUUCCACUAGGAUCCUCAGUCGAGCAAUAGCCUGGGUCUUCUGAGUGUCUUCCUUACUGAGCUGGGUGGACUUUUUUAAUGGAGGGAUGAUGAGUUUUACCCCCACCUCUGACAGCAUCUUCUCAAUCAGGAAGCCCUUGUCCGCCAUUACCUCAUCCCCUGGCUGGAGUAGCUGUAGAAGGUGUGAUCUCUUUGUUAUUUCAAUGUCUGAGACAGAGCCAGUGUACAGUGUAGAAACAAAUGUGAUAACACCACAUGGCGCAACACCAAUCAGACCCUUGAAGGUGGUGUUUUUGUAGCUUGAGAAUGUCUCUAACUGUAAUGAGAGGGAAGAUGCUGUUUCACAGCGGAUCUCAGUGCAGUCUAUGAAUUUGUCAGGCAUUGUGGCCUGCACUUGCUCUCUUGUCAUCCAUGAUGGUAGUGAUCCCAGAACCUGGUAGAGGUAGCUUGUCCACGUUAGAAUGAUGCAACUAACAGACGACACACUGACCUCAAAGAGAGAUGACAUGGUCUUCUCCUGAAGCCCAGCUGCUACGCGACAGAGGAACAUGAACAGUUCAUCUAUCAGUUUCUUCUCUUUCUCUACCUCUGUCUGUGUGUGACAAUGUUCUUUUCAGACAAUGAAGUGGACGGGGAAACAGUAGAGUAUGGCCUGACGGAUAAUAUGGUAUCAUACCUUUUUCCUGGAUCAUUCAAAAAACAAGUCAAGUUCAACAAAUUUAUACAGGAGUUAAAGGAUGUUGUAACACUGACUGUAGAACCAGUGCCUGAAGAAUGCAUUGAGCAGCCUUCGACUAUACAAAGGUAAAGUUUGAUAUGUUGAGCAUUAAAAGCAUUAUAUAUCUAUUAUCUAAUAGGUAUUGUAGCUCUAUGAAUAUAACAUUGCACGAUUUGGAGAGAGUCAUAUUGCGAUUGUGGACAAUAUUG
rnacentral:lncRNA from 15 species